AUCCUGGCUCAGAACGAACGCUGGCGGCGUGGAUAAGACAUGCAAGUCGCACGGAGAAAAGAUAGUUUACUAGCUUUUCUGAGUGGCGCACGGGUGAGUAACACGUGAGCAACCUGCCUCUUAGUGGGGGAUAGCCCUGGGAAACCGGGAUUAAUACCGCAUAUCAUCGCAAGAUGAAAGCAGCAAUGCGCUAAGAGAGGGGCUCGCGGCCUAUUAGUUAGUUGGUGAGGUAACGGCUCACCAAGGCGAUGACGGGUAGCCGGUCUGAGAGGAUGUCCGGCCACACUGGAACUGAGACACGGUCCAGACACCUACGGGUGGCAGCAGUCGAGAAUCAUUCACAAUGGGGGAAACCCUGAUGGUGCGACGCCGCGUGGGGGAAGAAGGUCUUCGGAUUGUAAACCCCUGUCAUGUGGGAGCAAGCUAGCAAUAGUUGAUAGUACCACAAGAGGAAGAGACGGCUAACUCUGUGCCAGCAGCCGCGGUAAUACAGAGGUCUCAAGCGUUGUUCGGAAUCACUGGGCGUAAAGGGUACGUAGGCUGUACCAUAAGUCGGGCGUGAAAGGCA
rnacentral:rRNA from 1 species